GGGACAACAGCCAGAAAUGGCGACUAAUACCGCAUAAGCCUGCUGUGCCGCAUGGCACAGCAGGGAAAACCACGGUGGUACAGGAUGGGCCCGCGUCUGAUUAGUUAGUUGGCAGGGUAACGGCCUACCAAGACAACGAUCAGUAGCCGGCUUGAGAGAGUGGACGGCCACAUUGGGACUGAGACACGGCCCAGACUCCUGCGGGAGGCAGCAGUGGGGAAUAUUGCACAAUGGGGGGAACCCUGAUGCAGCAAUGCCGCGUGGGUGAAGAAGCACUCCGGUGCGUAAAGCCCUGUCAGCAGGGAAGAAAAUGACAGUACCUGGACAAGAAGCCCCGGCUAACUACGUGCCAGCAGCCGCGGUAAUACGUAGGGGGCAAGCGUUAUCCGGAUUUACUGGGUGUAAAGGGAGCGCAGGCGGCGUGGCAAGUCAGAUGUGAAAACCCGGGGCCCAACCCCGGGAGUGCAUUUGAAACUGCCAUGCUGGAGUGCCGGAGAGGUAAGCGGAAUUCCUAGUGUAGCGGUGAAAUGCGUAGAUAUUAGGAGGAACACCAGUGGCGGAGGCGGCUUACUGGACGGUAACUGACGCUGAGGCUCGAAAGCGUGGGGAGCAAACAGGAUUAGAUACCCUGGUAGUCCACGCCGUAAACGAUGCAUAAUGGGUACAGG
rnacentral:rRNA from 1 species